rnacentral:tRNA from 1 species
GCCGGGGUGGCCGAGCGGUCUAAGGCGGCGGGCUGCAGUGGGUUUCUCGUCACGGAAACCCGUUAUUUCGCGGGUUCAAAUCCCGCCCCCGGCU